UUGAAGUUCUUUUGUCAGAGAUGAACAUUCUGCUGCUGUCAUAUAUUUAUCAUCUGUCAUGCUAUGGGAGAAGCACACAUUAAAUCUGGCACUUGCUAGGCUGUUGAAUUAUUGCUGUUAUGAUUGGGUUUCCCACGUCUUUCCCAUGGAAUUACAGAGCUCAUCACUAUGGCAUCUGCUGGGCCUGCGAUGGAUCAAAGCGAAAGUUAGGAUGGAAAAGCGAGGCUCCUGGAGACAGCUUAUCUACUGUGAAGUCUGCUCUUCUGGUUUGUCCCAACUUUGGAGUUUGGCAGCAACAGGACAGGCACAGAGCUCUGGGAAAGGAAGUGUGUGAAAACUGAAUCUCACCAAUGUCAUGAGCCCCCCGGGAUCUUCAAGGUCAUCUCGUUUAAUUCCUCUACACUGCAGAUGAGAAACUGACAUUCAGAGAGUCAAUAACCACACGGCCUGAGUGUGGUUUGGGCCUUAGCCGUGGAGCUGCCUCAAGCUGGCCUCCUGCAGUGCCCAGCGGCCCACCAGGGCUUGAGGAAGCUAGCACGUGCCAGUUAAUUCCCACAUAAUGAGUGGAAAAAGACCUCAAGCAUGGAGACAUCGUGAAACUGUGCUUC
ensembl:lncRNA